GACUUCAAGUAGCUCUGAAGCUCCCAUCUGAGGUAAACCCUCCAAAGGAUGUUUCUGAAUUAUCUCCUAAGCACAAGCAAGAGUGGAACUGGGAUUUAUUGGAAACCAUCCUGAGACUGACAUAUCAGAAGAGAAUUUGUGGAGUGACCUUUUUCCGGACAAGGUUGAGGAUCGAUGGAACCAUACUCAAAAGGAGAGCUCCAGCUAAAUUAAUGCCAUCGAUUAUUCAUUUUCAUAUAGCAUAUGGGAGGAAGAAAAGUAUAUAGAGGUGGCUGCUACUAGAAGGAGAAGGGAGGAGCAGGAGCAAAAAGAUAGAAGUGAUCGACCUCAUGGAGCAUGGGAAGAAGUAUUUGAGUGUCAAAAAGGCUGAUAGGUUAAGAAAUGAUCUGCAUGAAAGGGAUGAACUGGAGCUUAAAAGAACUGGCCAGCCCCUUGGUAUCUAUGGACCUUACUUGGGAGAAGGAGAAUCUGGCCCUUUCUGCAUGUUUCUUCAAUCUAUCGUGGGAUUGGACCGAAGUUUAGCUGCAAAGAGUUAGAAGUUUAUAAUUGCAAAGCAUAUGAACCAUAGGGCUGAGAACUCCAUUUGCCAUUACCUAGAGCUUAGAUACUGAACACCAAAAUACCCUGGUCGAGGUGUUGUUGAUGUAUGCCUAUUGCGUUUCAGUUUUGGGGCAUAUGAGUGAAGUACCGAAUUCCUUGGAUUUGAUGCUUUACCUGGUGAUUGCAGUGAAUAAAGGGUUGAAGAAGACCUGGAGUUUAUUGACGCACCUUCUUGGCUUCCACUUCUUCAUAAUCCAUGUUACCGAGAUGCUUUGGGUGAC